rnacentral:rRNA from 1 species
GUAUUAAAGGUGUUGCCUGCCCAGUGAAACAUUUUCAACGGCCGCGGUAUCCUAACCGUGCAAAGGUAGCGUAAUCACUUGUCUUUUAAAUAAAGACUCGUAUGAAAGGCUAAAUGAGGACGAAACUGUCUCUUAUAGUUGACCAGUAAAACUGAUCUUCAAGUACAAAAGCUUGAAUAAACACAUAAGACGAGAAGACCCUGUGGAGCUUAAAACUGACACUAUAAUAAACAAUAGCAUAAGUUUUAAGUUGGGGCGACUUCGGAACAAAACAAAACUUCCGAGCACAGAGCCAUCCCCUCUCCUCAAGACCCACAAGUCAAAACAACGACCCAGUCACACUGAACAACGAACCAAGUUACCCCAGGGAUAACAGCGCCAUCUUCUUCAAGAGUCCCUAUCGACAAGAAGGUUUACGACCUCGAUGUUGGAUCAGGACACCCAAAUGGUGCAGCAG